rnacentral:lncRNA from 1 species
CAAAGACAAUGAGAGAGGACCACUUUUCUUCGAAUUAGUGGGAAAGGAUAGAUAGAUAAUUAUGAGCAUGUUUUAAUAAAACGGCACAUAAAAGAGAAGACACGCAGCAUUUACUGACUUGUAGAAUAACGACUUCAGUAGAUUACUACAUCUCCAGCUAAAACAAGGAAACCAUAGCAGCGCAGAUUUUAAACUGAAUGACACUGAACAACAAUUUAAUUGAGUGCUUUAUUUUUCUUUCAGGUGGAAUAGUAAACCAUUGAAGAACUUAUCACCUCAAAAUUGUGUGGCUCAAUUGAGAAUUGCGUGAGGACCUCCUGAGCUUUCUGUCGCCCUUUGAAGCCAUCAUCAUGAUCGUUGAAGCUCAGCAGCACAAGGUCUUUACAAACGUGGAUCGCCUACUGAGGACUACAAAUCCAUCUUCAACGCUACCAUACUAAGGCCAAAUCACUCACACCCAGAGAACCAAACAAGAAGAUCCAAUUGCAAAUCACAAGACUAGGUAAGAGCCACUUAAAUCCAGCCCCAAGGUCUUACAAGGAUAUCAUAGAGGACAAUAAGCUUAAUUAACAUACUUGCUACAAAAUAUGUAAUUGUAAAACGCUAGCAACAAUAGUAAAGCUAUCGAAACAGAAAUUCUGCGCAAGAUCGCAGUAAUGGAUUGACAAGCUAUAUCUAAAUAAACAAAACUCGUGCUCAUGUUUGCUCUGUAAAAUAAUAACAUGAGAUGCGUGCGUUGGAUAAUGAAAUAACUUGGAACGAAUGUUACCUGCAAUAACGGGGUGGUGCAAUGGAAUAAAAGCUUGAGUGCAAGGAAAGCAUACUGUUUAAUAUAGAAUAGAAGGUAAGCCCUGAUAUCAUAAUUUCCAGUGUCUUUGUUUUUUAUGUACUCUGUGAUGUGUGACUGCCAGUUUCAAGUGCUGAAACAUGUUUUAGUAGAAUUCUCUUAAUAGCCCAUAUUACCAAGAUGAAUAUUUGAUGGGAGCAGAUAGUGAUGAACAAUGAGAACCCAGAUUACAAAUUCAUGAUCUUGCUAACGACUGAUUCUACGUGAAGGGGCAUGUGACUACAUGAUUCUAAGUGCAGGAAAAUCGAAUUGAGGAUAUAGGAUAUAAGUAGGAGAAUACCUUCGGGUCACCGUCAUAAAUUGCAAUAUCGUGCCAUGGAUGAAUUGAUUGCUAGCUGGAGUCGGGGCCGCGCUUUAGCCAUGGAUUGUAAGGCAAAGAGAAGAGAAAGCGGGACACAGAGACUAGAGGGGAGAACCCGGGAAAUCCCCGUGCGAUCUCCCCUCCAAACACGAAAAUGAUAAUUUUAUUAAGAUAGUGGUUGACCUGCCAUGCAAGCGCACCUGUCAUGGCAAAGGUCGGAUGACAAAGAUAAUAAACAAGACCUUGGCCUCUUGGCCUUCUGGUCCCGAUAUAUAUCUUAUACAUCAUCCUCAUAAAUAAAUCGAACACCAACACCAGCAUCAUCUCCUUCCUGUCCUUCUCCACCAACAAAUUACACAUAACAUGCUACACCACAGCUCACAUAACCAAUCUUCAGCCAUGUCUACAUCCAGCAACACGUUCAGCGGAUUCUGUAACUGCUUACAACACCACCUGCAGAAAAAAUCUCAAAUCAUCUUCUGCUUUCCGCCAACAACCAAACUUAAAUAUUGCUAAAAUUCCUCAUGAUCGAAGAAAGCAUGGCCGGAAGGGACAGAUCCGCUUAAUAUUUGAGCUAUCGAAACAGAGCCGCGCCACAUCUACAGAACAAAAUUAGAUUUACGCGGAUUAAUGACUUGAUCAAUAACCAAUAGACAGAUAUUCAAUCAGAUCUAGCUUAGGAACGUAAACAAAACACUUAUACAUAC